AGCCUUCAGAAGUCCCCAUGGUACCAGUGGAUUCCCAGGAGCAGGAAGGUGGGAAGAGCUCGGGGGGAAGCACGCCUGCCUGUCUCGGGCUGCCCUCCCCACGCGCCUCACCUGCAGAAUGGAGGUGCGCUGCUCAUUCUUGUGCACCUUGGAUGCCAGUCGGUUGAACUCCAGGGCCAUGCGGCCCAGGUGGGUGAAGAGCUGGCCGUGGUCCGGCUCCUCGGCACACACACUCAGCGUGGUCUCCAGGCGCUGCAGGUGCAGCAUCAGGUUGCCGUCCUCACGGGGCAGGGGGCCCAGCGCCUGGAGAGGGAAAGGGCACACGGCCCACUCUUCACCAAGGCCUGAGUAGGCGCCGCCAGUCCAUUCUCCCUCUGCUUCCUCAUUUCUCAUGACUCAGUUUCCCCCUGUGACCCCAGCUCAGCCCCGGGAAAUUCUCCAGUUAUGCAGGUUCCCUGUCUGGGGCUGACUCACAGGGCAGAACCCAGGACUCACAGGCCACUGGUGGCUCCACAGCAGCGGGGCCACCAUCCUCCCACACACUGGGCCUUGCAGAGUGCCUGACAGUAAGUCACUUGUCUGCUGGACCUCAGCAUCCUCAUCUACCAAAUGUCCGCACAACCCUUCCCUCCCUUCAACCUCACAGGGUUCUUAGGAGGAUGAAUUGACCCCUGACAGUAACAAGCCCAGAAAAGGGACAUCACUGCACAGUCAGCCCUCCAUAUCCAUGGGUUCCGCAUCCAUGGAUUCAACCAACUGCAGAUCAAAAAUCUUCUAAAAAAACAAACUGGCCGGGCGCGAUGGCUCACGCCU
rnacentral:lncRNA from 1 species